UACGAAGGGGGCUAGCGCUGCUCGGAAUCACUGGGCGUAAAGGGUGCGUAGGCGGGUCUUUAAGUCAGGGGUGAAAUCCUGGAGCUCAACUCCAGAACUGCCUUUGAUACUGAAGAUCUUGAGUUCGGGAGAGGUGAGUGGAACUGCGAGUGUAGAGGUGAAAUUCGUAGAUAUUCGCAAGAACACCAGUGGCGAAGGCGGCUCACUGGCCCGAUACUGACGCUGAGGCACGAAAGCGUGGGGAGCAAACAGG
rnacentral:rRNA from 1 species